CACGUAGGGGGCGAGCGUUGUCCGGAUUUAUUGGGCGUAAAGAGCUCGUAGGCGGCUCAGUAAGUCAGGUGUGAAAACUCCAGGCUCAACCUGGAGACGCCACCUGAUACUGCUGUGGCUAGAGUCCGGUAGGGGAGCAUGGAAUUCCUGGUGUAGCGGUGAAAUGCGCAGAUAUCAGGAGGAACACCAGUGGCGAAGGCGGUGCUCUGGGCCGGUACUGACGCUGAGGAGCGAAAGCGUGGGUAGCAAACAGG
rnacentral:rRNA from 1 species